UACGGGGGGGGCAAGCGUUGUUCGGAAUUACUGGGCGUAAAGGGCUCGUAGGUGGCCAACUAAGUCAGACGUGAAAUCCCCAGGCUCAACUUGGGAACUGCGUCUGAUACUGGAUGGCUUGAAUUCGGGAGAGGGAUGCAGAAUUCCUGGUGUAGCGGUGAAAUGCGCAGAUAUCAGGAGGAACACCAAUGGCGAAGGCAGCACUCUGGGACGUGACUGACGCUGAGACGCGAAAGCGUGGGGAGCAAACAGG
rnacentral:rRNA from 1 species